UACGUAGGGCGCAAGCGUUGUCCGGAAUUAUUGGGCGUAAAGAGCUCGUAGGCGGCUUGUCACGUCGGGUGUGGAAGCCCGGGGCUUAACCCCGGGUCUGCAUUCGAUACGGGCAGGCUAGAGUGUGGUAGGGGAGAUCGGAAUUCCUGGUGUAGCGGUGAAAUGCGCAGAUAUCAGGAGGAACACCGGUGGCGAAGGCGGGUCUCUGGGCCGAUACUGACGCUGAGGAGCGAAAGCGUGGGGAGCGAACAGG
rnacentral:rRNA from 1 species